GUCCUGUUUACAUCAGGGAAAGAUCUGCAGAUCACAGCAGGAGUCAACCACAGCUUUCCCAAAUGCUCCCACCUGACUUGAGUCCAAGUGGGUUUUCCCUUGCUCCAGGGAAGUCUGUCUGGGGCUUGUUGGCUGGCACAAGGAGUUUGAAUGUCACAACAUGGCUUUACAUUUUGGGACACUCAUAGCUGAGAAAGCAGAUGCUGCCCUCUUUUACACUGGUGCAAUUCUGGAAUAACUCCACUGACGUCAGUGAAGUGACUCCAAAUUUAUCCCGGCAAAAGCAGAAUUGGACCACAGUCUCUUUGUCUGCCUCUUUGAUUUGGAGCUCUGGGGAAGGUGUGCCACUGCCACAACAUAAGGUGAGGGCUGGCUUCUGUAUGCUGCAAGGUUGUCACGUCAGGACGCUGCAAAAGAGGUUGUUGCAUCUUCUUCCUGUAAAGUUGGUGGAGUUUCUCUCUAUGCAGGGGGUACAACCUUUCUGGCCAGGAAACUGUUUUCCUUGCUCUGUGGUUUUCUUGCUGCUGCUGCUGCUUUUAAAGGGGUCAACACUCUUAGUUCCAGGAAACUGAAACUAAAUGUGAGCAGGGACUGGAGGAGGGAAGCAGAGAGAAUCCCCUACAAGAUUCCAAUACGUUUUAUUUCUGGGAAAACUAAAUAAAGCAGGAUUCAACUGCCAGUGGGUAAAUAGCAGCAAUUUAUGAGCUGUUCCUCAAAAGCCCCAGACAAGCACCGAGUCCUGUGGGAAGCUGGAGAUUGACACAGGACACCUCCAGAAGAGACUGCUGUUGAAACUUUCUUUAAGCCUUUUUUUCAAGUGGAGCAUCCAGACCUGGCAAAUGCAUAAGGUCAGCCCUUAAGACCUCUCUCUAAGAAAACCAAAUGAGUGGCUGAAGUCUGUCCAUUCGUCUGCCUUUUUGGCCUUGGAUUACUGUGCUUUUCAAAGCUGUGCUUUCAUAACUUGGAUAAAAAGGUAGAUGUUUCAUAUAGCUCUACAAGUAGUAAUCAUCCUGUUCAUGCAAAAUAUCUGCUGCCUGAGGGGUGGGCCCAAACCAGAGGUGUUUCUCAUUUACCUACAAAGCAUCUGGCUUUAGCAUCUGUAGUCAGAUUUGUGAACCUGUGAGUCCAUUGCCUGCUCUAAUGGAGUUAGUGACUUAUUUUCAGUGGUUGUAGAGAGUUUCACUGAAAUAGCACUGUUUGUAGUCCAUUGUGUGACUUAGGAGACACAAUAGCCAGACAAUUCUGCAAUUGUAAUAUAACUGUACAUGAUGUUCCCAGAAAAUGCUCUGAAGUCUUCUCCCAUUGCACCAUGGUGAUAAAACCUCUGCUGCUUUUCAAGCUCCAUGAGUCCAUGCUGUGCCAUGCUGAAAGUGAUAGAAAACCCAAUUAACUCUGAAAAGUAAAGGGCAGAGAGGGGGGCACUGUCCUGGAAUUCCCUCCCUUUGGCAGCUGCAAAGGUCAGCCGUGCAGCCAAAUUUCUGUGACCACGUGUGGAUCCAACUUGUUUGUGUUGCCAGGUCUCUGCACAGAGGGGUGG
rnacentral:lncRNA from 1 species